AUAUUCUUUUUCACUUUUUUCCCUUAUAGGUUAUUACAAGAUACUAAAUAUAGUUCCCUGUGCUAUAUAGUGUAGCACCUUAUUGUUUAUCUGUUUUAUUUAUAGUAAUUUGUAUCUGCUAACUUCAAACUCCUAAUUGAUUCCUUCCCUACCCCCUUUCCUCUUUGGUAAUCAUAAAUUUGUUUUCAGUAUCCAAAGUGUAUUUUUAAUCACCAAUUCAAAGUGAUGUUUCACACAGGAAUAGAGGGAUCUGGUCCACCCUUAGGAGAUUUCACCUGACCCUGAGCACUUAGAAAACAAGAUAAAACAGCAGCAGGAGAGGAGGUCUCAUCUCUUCUGCCUACAGAGCUCCUGGCUGUGUCCUUAGCUAAUUCUUAUUUCAUCAGCAUUGUGGCAGAGGCAAUGUCCUUUCUAAGCUAUAAGGACAUGACCAUUUCUUUCAGUUCUGAGCAUCCACUACUUCCCCUAAAACUAGAUUCCCACAGGACAUUAGUGCACAAGACAGGCAACAUCGGCCUCCUUGCUUCCAACAGCUAGCAACAACGUGUGUGGGUACUUCACUGACUGUGUGCGGGUGUGUGUGUGUGUGUGUGUGUGUGUGUGUGUGUAUUACCGUAGUAAUAACAAAAUGCAAUUUUAAGGGGGGUAAUACCUUGGGGAAAUGGGGGAGCCUGCCCAUGAAGAUAUCAGUAAAGAGGUUUAUUUAGUUUUUGCUGUAGCCCCUGAUACUUCUGCAUUCUGCCAGAAUAUUACAUAGAGCACAGCCACAUAAAAGCAAAUAGUGUUAAUGCUAUGGGAACUGAGACUUCUAAUUCCUACCUCUUUAGGCAUUCUUUUUUCUGUGUCUCUAUGGGUAUUUACUGCCUUAAAUACAGAACCUGAAAUUUUAACAGAAAUUCUGCUUGAGUGAGAAAAAAUAAAGCCAAUUUCAAACCUUACUGUUAUUUUCAUCUCUGGAGAUGACAUGUGAAAGCAAUUAAGAAAGGUAUUCUCUAGGGGAAAAAAAUCUUACCUCAGUUGAAAGAGGCUGGAAGAGAUUUUGAAGAACGAUGAAAUGGAAAAUAACACCAUACCUUCUUUAAGCAAAUUAAGUGGGCACCUCUAUCAUAUCAUAAUGCAAGACUGAUGCAAAUAUGUGCAUUGCCUAAGAUGCCAAAGUUUGCAACGCUGAAUCCAAAAUCUCCUGAAAGAUCACACUCAUAACCACUGAAAUAACCACCUGUCCCUCAUCUAGAGAUGAUGCUCGUGGAAACAAAAGAACUUGGAAGGGAGGUUUCAACAGCAUUAGAGAUCAGCAAUAACCUGAAUCUCUCUGGUUGAUUUAUACUGAAAAAGGACACCUGGAGAAAAAGGAUGGUUAUUUUCCUUGUAACGUGAGCUUUUUUUUUUUUUUUUUUUUUUUUUUUUUUAAGCUGUGAACUUUUUACCUUGCUUCAUUCAUGCUUCAUUUGAUCAAUUACAAACUGUAUAGCCCCUAAAAAGCGAGCGCGGGCUUCUUGAAGUUGAUAUUGUGCUUUGCGAUUCAUCUUCAUUUCAAAACAGGCGGGGAGGUGGAAUUAAGACACCUAUCAGACUGUGAACCGGUAAAGCAGAGGCUGGGAGUGUGUGCGUCGGUCCCCUUAACACCACGAGGACCCGAGGACCUUAACUGCGGACGGACGAGCGGAGCCCGGCUCUCGCAGCCCAGAAUCCGCUUUCAAACCUUAGGGAGCCAGCGCUGCCAUUGAAAUGCAAAUCCGGUCCUGAGCAGCCGGGCCAAUCCGGGAGGCUUCCUGUGGGAUUACCUGGUGGCGAGCGCCGAGCCCGCGCGGACCCUCCGGCGCGGCCCCCGCGGCCGGGGAGGCGUGGUGGUCGGGCGCCCCCGCACCCUCCGGGCCCGGAGCCGGGCUUCACCAGCCGCAGCCCCGCACCCCGGGCCCGCCGCGCCGCAGCCGCUGUAGCCCCGGCGCAGGGCGCGGCCGAGCGGCCCAUUGUUGAGCGCGGCCGAGCUCCGCCGGCGAUGCCCCGCGCCGCCUCCUCCGAGCCGUGGUGAGGUUUGAACUUGGCGUCGGCCGGGAGCCCCGCGCGGCCCCGCGAGCGCGAUGGAAGGCAGAAACUGCCACUCCAAGAGCGAAAGAAUUGCGGAUUAUUGACAGCCUGAAAACUUUUCAGAAGAAAUGAUCUGUGAAAUAUUUUAAUUUUGAUAAAUUGCUUCCCCCGAGGGCUCCUACUGCGUUCAGAACGACUUGCCUUUCUUAAUUUUACAGGAUUUGUUUCUGUAGGAAAGAGCCCAAGUGUGCUUUUGAGGGGCAUGCCUGCCCCUCCCCCCUUCCACUUGUUCCAGAUCUUAAGGCAGGUUUUUUUUUUUUUUUUUUUUUUAAGGUGUGUUCCACUGUCAUGGAGCAAACGUUAAAUCAUGAAAAUGAAACUAUACCUGACACGUGCUUGACUGAGUUGCGGGAGAGAUAAAAAUGCUUUGCUGAGGGGUGGGGGCGAGGUUAUAAAAUUUCAAUACAUCCAGCUUCCGGUGGGGGUGGGGUGUGACCAUCUCUUGCUAAUGUGUUUUGGCUUUUUUUUUGUUUUGUUUUUUAAAUCAUAGCGUGAUGCGCUUCUGUGCUCCGAAGCUUUUGAGAGGACAGGACUGGGUGCCCACAUUCAUAUAAUUUCUAUGGAGGUAGUGCUAUGAGACGUCCUGGUGCAACAGGACCUCUUCUCCUGUUUCUAAUCAGUUAAUAUUUAAAGACUGGUUAAAUGAUCGUUUCUGAUUAAAUAAAAGUACCUUGGUCAGACA